rnacentral:lncRNA from 13 species
CCCCCUUGAACUUUGCAACCUUUUGCCACAUUUCAGGCUUCAAACAUAAAGAUAUAAAACUGUAUUUUUUUGUGAAGAAUCAACAACAAGUGGGACACAAUCAUGAAGUGGAACGACAUUUAUUGGAUAUUUCAAACUUUUUUAACAAAUCAAAAACUGAAAAAUUGGGCGUGCAAAAUUAUUCAGACCCUUUACUUUCAGUGCAGCAAACUCUCUCCAGAAGUUCAGUGAGGAUCUCUGAAUGAUCCAAUGUUGACCUAAAUGACUAAUGAUGAUAAAUACAAUCCACCUGUGUGUAAUCAAGUCUCCGUAUAAAUGCACCUGCACUGUGAUAGUCUCAGAGGUCCGUUAAAAGCGCAGAGAGCAUCAUGAAGAACAAGGAACACACCAGGCAGGUCCGAGAUACUGUUGUGAAGAAGUUUAAAGCCGGAUUUGGAUACAAAAAGAUUUCCCACUGUAUAUAUAUACUGUAUGUUACAGGAGAAGGUCAAUUUGGGAAAUGUAUAUGUUCCCCGUAAUAAAUUUGCAACAGGAUUUUCAGGAGGAAGCCAGGGCGGACAUGUCGCGGCUGAACUGUUCCCCCUCUGCCGCUGUGUCUGUCAGUCCCUCGUCCGCUCAUCCUGCCGCCCUCUACCUUACUCCCUUAAACAUGUCAUCACAAAGGGCCACCGUUUACUGGAUGCAGCUGCCCAUAACACUGACCCCAGAGAGGAAGAGGCAAAGCGAGAUAUUUAACUCCUCCACCCCAAAAAAAUCUGUACACGAAAAUUAGGCUACGAAGUGAGGAAUUUUAUUAUGGAGGUCAAUGAGAGUGUGUUGAAUUUGGUCAACAGAAAAUGUCAUUGCUAAUUUGCUACGUGAGGCUUAUUUGAUCAAAUAGUAGUUUCGUAAUGGUUAGGUGUUACGAAUACACUGGGUAGCCUAGUGGUUAGAGAGUUGGACUAAUAACCGAAAGGUUUCAUGUUCAAAUCCCUGAGCUGACAAGGUACAAAUCUGUCGUUCUGCCCCAGUUAACCCGCUGUUCCUAGGCCAUCAUUGUAAAAUAAGAAUUUGUUCUUAACUGACUUGCCUAGUUAAAUAAAGGUACAAAAUAUAUAUAUAAGUGUAUAUGUGGACGCACGUGGUAUUUCAGCAAACU